rnacentral:rRNA from 1 species
CAGUAGCCACGGGAAUACGGAGGGUGCAAGCGUUAAUCGGAAUUACUGGGCGUAAAGCGUGCGUAGGCGGCUUCUUAAGUCGGAUGUGAAAUCCCUGAGCUUAACUUAGGAAUUGCAUUCGAUACUGGGAAGCUAGAGUAUGGGAGAGGAUGGUAGAAUUCCAGGUGUAGCGGUGAAAUGCGUAGAGAUCUGGAGGAAUACCGAUGGCGAAGGCAGCCAUCUGGCCUAAUACUGACGCUGAGGUACGAAAGCAUGGGGAGCAAACAGGAUUAGAUACCCCUGUAGUCCCUGUCUCUUAUAC